AAACUUUGAGAGGAGAAGAGAGAACAUGGCAGGAGGCCCUCCUCCUCAACGUCCCCCAAUGGGAGGACCUCCUCCUCCUCCAAUGGGAGGACCCCCACCUCCUCCACACAUGGGUGGCUCUGCACCUCCUCCUCCACACAUGGGGCAGAACUAUGGACCUCCGAACAACAUGGGAGGGCAAAGGCCUCCACCAAACUAUGGAGGGGCACCACCACAAAACAACAUGGGUGGACAGAGGCCACCACCAAACUAUGGAGGAGCUCCACCAGCAAACAACAUGGGACCUAACUAUGGAGGAGGGCCACCACCAAACUACGGAGGAGCACCGCCACCAAACUACGGAGGAGCACCACCACCAAACUAUGGAGGAGCACCGCCACCAAACUAUGGAGGAGCACCACCACAGAACAACAACUACCAGCAGCAGAGUGGUGGAAUGCAGCAGCCACAGUACCAGAACAACUAUCCACCA
rnacentral:lncRNA from 1 species